CCUACGGGAGGCAGCAGUGGGGAAUAUUGGGCAAUGGAGGAAACUCUGACCCAGCAACGCCGCGUGAAUGAUGAAGGUCUUCGGAUUGUAAAGUCCUUUUCUACGGGAAGAAGAAAGUGACUGUACCUUAGGAAUACGCCUCGGCUAAAUACGUGCCAGCAGCCGCGGUAAUACGUAGGAGGCGAUCGUUAUUCGGAAUGACUGGGCGUAAAUGGUUCGUAGGUGGUUUGGCUAGUUAGUAGGGUAACUACAGGGUGCAACCGUGGCACUACUGCUAAAACUGUUGGACUUGAGUGCGGGAGGGGCAAGCGGAAUUCCGAGUGUAGCGGUGGAAUGCGUAGAUAUGAGGAGGAACACCAGUGGCGAAGGCGGGUUGCUAGACUGUAACUGACACUGAGGCACGAAAGCGUGGGGAGCAAACAGGAUUAGAUACCCCAGUAGUC
rnacentral:rRNA from 1 species